UGGCGGAGCCGCGCCGCAGUGAGUUGCGUAACAUAAGCACACUCGUCUCCAAGCGCUACGCCGAACAAAACUUUCGCCCCGUGCGCGCCGACGGAAUGGAAAAGCGUAAAACAACAUAACUUUCUCGCGGAGCGCGCCCUUCAAUUCUUACAUGAAAAGUUGCAUUCUACUUAUUGGAUAUUAUCGGCAAUCUCUCGGACUUCAGCUUUUGGCUUUUCUUUUUUAGUUCUUAAAGUUUUCUUCAGAAGUUGACUGUGCGAAAAGUGGGCCGAUGCGGGAUUCGCCGGCCGCGUAUUUAAUAGUGAGAACGUUCUGAGUGUUGUGUUUAAUUUGUUUUGUUUUUGCUUUGCUUGACGGCGAGUGGUGGCAACGGACGGUGAGCGGUGACGGCGCUGGUGGUAGGAAUCGAUACUGCGGUGGGAGCGGUGAAGGUGUCAUCGACAUGUUGAGGCGACGGGCGAGUGUGCGAGCGGGUUGAUCAUCUCCACAUGCCGAAAACACUCUGCAGUCAGCAGAAAGAUGUCCUAAUAUGGGUUGGUCAUGCGUGGUGGCACGCGUCGUGGCCUGCUUCCUCAUGCUCGGAAGAGUCUCCGCACUCACAUCCGACAUCUUCGCAGCGGGAAAGUCGGACAAAGAGAUACUGGACAAUCUUCUGAAAAACUCCCGCUAUGACAAAAGGCUGCUUCCGCCAGUUGAUGAUCCGGAAUUUUGUUGUGGGCUAACAUCGCCAAACGACUCUCUGUCACAAAAUAAAGUGGGGUUUUCGUCGCUGCGGCCCCGCUCGCACAACCGUGGCGUCCUCACCGUUAACGUUAGCGUGCUACUUCUUAGUUUAGCGUCUCCAGAUGAAUCUAGUCUCAAAUACGAGGUAGAGUUUCUUCUGCAGCAGCAAUGGUACGACCCUCGGUUGCGGUACUCCAACCAGUCGCACUACGAUUUCCUCAACGCCAUCCACCACCACGAGGACAUCUGGCUGCCUGAUACCUACUUCAUCAUGCACGGUGACUUCAAGGAGUAUUCUCAACAUUCAUGGGAUCCAAUAAUACCGAUGCAUUUCGCAUUGCGUAUUUACCGCAACGGUACCAUCAACUAUCUGAUGCGACGGCAUCUGAUCCUAUCCUGUCAGGGGCGGCUCAACAUCUUUCCUUUUGAUGACCCAUUGUGUUCAUUUGCCUUAGAGAGUAUAUCAUACGAGCAAUCAGCGAUAACGUACGUGUGGAAGAAUGACGAGGACACGCUCCGGAAGUCACCGUCGCUGACUACCCUGAACGCGUACCUUAUUCAGAACCAAACCAUCCCGUGCCCCAUCAAGGCGAGCUGGAGAGGUAACUACAGCUGUUUAAAAGUCGACCUAAUAUUUACAAGAGACCGAGCGUUCUACUUUACAACAGUAUUUAUCCCGGGAAUAAUCCUGGUGACGUCAUCUUUCAUCACGUUCUGGCUGGAAUGGAACGCGGUGCCAGCCCGGUCCAUGAUAGGUAAUUACAGCUGCCUGAGGGUGGACCUCAUCUUCACGCGGGAUAGAUCAUUUUACUUCACCACAGUUUUUAUUCCCGGCAUCAUAUUGGUGACAUCAUCGUUUAUUACUUUUUGGCUGGAAUGGAAUGCCGUGCCUGCUAGAGUCAUGAUAGGUGUAACGACGAUGUUGAAUUUUUUCACAACAUCAAACGGUUUUCGGUCGACUCUGCCGGUGGUGUCAAAUUUGACAGCUAUGAACGUUUGGGACGGAGUGUGUAUGUGUUUCAUCUACGCGUCGCUAUUGGAGUUCGUAUGUGUGAACUACGUGGGUCGGAAGCGGCCCUUACACAAUGUAGUGUACCGCCCGGGAGAAAACCCUGUCACCCAGCGACUGCCCGCAGUGUUGAGCAGAAUUGGCAUUAUACUGGCCAGCCCCCUGGAGGCGGUGGCAUUCCUCAGUUGGGCAAUGUCAGAGACGCCGCCGCCGGAGCCUAGUGGUGCUGUAAGUGACGUCACAAGCCCCAUUUGCCCCACAUCACCCCUGACCUGAUUGAUAUCACGAACUAACGCAUCAUUCUUAUUUAAACGCUGCUUCGGAUUGCCACAGCCUGGUGAUAAAAAGCGGGAUUCCGCGGGGGCUGCGGAUCUGGUGACGUGUGCAACAUGUACCGGCCCGCCCGGGUCCUGUACCCACACCACCAACAACG
rnacentral:misc_RNA from 1 species